rnacentral:lncRNA from 1 species
UUAAUUGGAAUGACUAAGUAUAUACAUAAUGUAGUGUAUACAAAUACUAAAGUUAUUUGUUUUCCUAACCCUUCCCAUACAGGUACAGAUUUGCUGAGGUGCGGUACUUACGACCAGAAGAGAUCCAUAAAGGCAAGCACCUGCCAACCAGAGUUGAGACUACGGUCAUUUUCUUCCCAGAUGUAUGGAGUUGUAGUCCAUCCCGCCUUGAGUGGGCAUCGCUACAGACAGCCUACAAAAAACAACUGCAGAAAAAGAUAGCCGCCAUUUCUGAUGGCCCUAAAGACACAAGCUCACAGGCACAGACUUUAUACUUUUGGUUUCUUUUUAUCUAGGUGUUAAUUUGUUGAAGACCUUUAUGUAAAGGUUAUUCAACUAAGAUUAGAUCAUCACAGAGACCCUGAAAAAAUAAGCAGAACACAGGGUUGUUGAUGUAACAUUUAUUUUUCAUUAAUCAUAUAGCUGCAGGUUACACAGUAAAGGUUAUCAUUAUAAUUUAAGUUAAACAUUUUUACUUUCAAUUUAUUGAAAAAAGAGUUUAUGACUUUUUAUGUUUUGACUGCAACAGUUUAUCCUUUUAACAUAAUUUUAGAAUAAACUCAAGCUACAUAAAAGACAGACGAGCUUUUGAUUUAGAGCAAAUUGUCAUUUCUGAAAUAUAUAUAUAUUCAACAGGGACAGAAGAAUAUGACACAAGAAAAUAAGUCAUGAACACUUUUUGCAAUAUUGAGAUAAAAAAAUACUGUAAAUUUUUCUGUGUUUAAAUUUAAAGACUUAUGUCACUUUAAAAAAAAAGUUUUUGUUUAAUUGUUACAUCUUUGCCUAUAACUGCUUUGAGAUUUUAUAUUCAGCAAUCAUCUCUCUCUUUUUUUUGCUAUUCUUUUUUAUAAACUAAUUGACAUUAUUCUUAAAACAGAUAAAAAAGUAUUUCUGAAAAUGGAACUUCAAGAGGCACAAGUUAACAUCAUGUUGGCAUAUUACAUAAACAAACAAUAAGUUAUUGAACUUAUCGGAAAAUUUAAAUCUGUGAAAAUUCUGUUCUGAUUAUCUCAUGUGUUAUUUCUUAAGGAAGAAGAUGAAGACACAGAAAACAUUGAAGUCAGAGAUCCUACCCACUUCUCACAGCUAGAUCCCAAGGCUAUGAAGGUAUGUCUGGCUGUACACUCUUUUCACUUUUAAAAGGCUUCAAGAUAUAUUAUUUCUUUCUUACUUAUCAAUUAAAGUAUUUACGGACAAAGCCAGAAUUUCCCACUUUUUUGAAAAAGAUAAAUCACAUAAAGAUAUCUUUUACAAAAAUUUAUAUUGCGACACAAGACAGUUUAUAUUGUGACACAAAAAUGUUAUGAUAGAUUUUUUUCAAUGCUUAAAACAAUCCAGUGUUUAAAUUUUAGUCUCCCAUUCAAAAUGAAACAAUCUUUACCCUUCACAAGCACUUUGAUUUUUUGGUUUUUCCUAAUUUAAAAAAAAUUUAAAGGCAAGAGGAAAUAUGCAAGACAAAAUUAUUUUUACCUUGCUAUUGGAUAGAUUAGUUAAUGUUUUCUGAAUAUACGAGGAAUGAUAUUUGAGAGAUAUUUAGUUCAUUGUAAUCUUCUAGUUAACCAAAAAAAGUGACCUUCCAUUUUCUCCUCUGUCGUAAUCGUUAUGUUUGCUAAUUUAAAAGACAUAUUACUAAUUAUGCAUUUUUCAAUGUUGCUAAUUUUGUAAACUUUAGUUGGUGUUAGGAUUGUUCAAUGUUGGUAAUUUUGUAAACUUUAGUUGGUGUUAGGAUUUGCAUUGUGCUUCAAACUUUAUGGUAAUUUUGUAAACUGUGAGAUUGGUGUUAGCGAUUGUCAAUGUUGGUAAUUUGUAACUUUGUUUGAGUGUUAGGAUUAUUCAAUGUGAGUAAUUGUUGUAAACUUUAUGUGUGGUUGUAUGGAUUGGUUUCAAUGUUGCUAAUUGUAAACUUUAGAUGGUUUAGGAUUGUUCAUGAUGGUAAUUCUUGUAAACUUUAGUUGGUGUAGGAUUGUAUCAAUGUUGGUAAUUUUUGUAAACUUUAGUGGUGUUCAAGGAUUGUUCACGUGCUAUUUUGAAACUUUACGUUGGUGUUAGAUUUUCAAUGUUGCUUAAGUUAUGUAAACUUGUAGUUGCGGUUAAGGAUUGUUCAUGGUGGUAAUAUCUUGUAACUUAAGUUGGUGUUAGAGAGAUAGUAUGUUCAACUGUUGGUAUUUUGUAAACUUAUCAGAUUGGGUGUUAGGAUUUUCAAUGGUCUGUAAUUCUUGUAACUUUAGAAUGGUUAGGAUUGUUCAUGUUGUAAAUUUAGUGUAUAACUUUGGUUGAUGUAAGGUUGUUCAUGUUGGUAAUAUUUGUAACUUAGUUGGUGUUAGAGAUUUCAACGUGUUGCUCAAUUUUGUAAACUUUAGUUGCGUAGUUGCAGUGGUAAUUUAACAGAUGUUAGGAUUUAUUAUUUUGUAAACGUUAGUUGGUGUUAGGAUUGUUCAAUGUUGGUAUAUUUUAAACUUUAGUUGUUUAGGAUUGUUCAAUUUGUAUUUUGUAACUUUAGUUGUGUUAGGAUUUUACAAUGUUGGAUUUUGUUAAACUUUAGUUGGUGUAUUAGGCAUGUUUUCACUGUUUUGGUAAUUUUGUAAACUUUAGAUUGGUGUUUGGAUUGUUUCAAUUGGCCACGGUUUUAAUUGUUGGUUUACGAUUUUCUCCCAUGAAAGGUCGGGUCGGUCUGUGGGAGGAAAAAAAGAAAAAAAUCAUCUUUAAAAACAGAAAAUAUGCAAAAUCAAUAUAUACUUCACCUUCUAACAUACUUUUUGUUAUGCUAUUUUAUCAUCAUUUCUUCAAUUUUAGUUCGAUGAAAAAUUAGAUGCUCAGCUUGUUUAUAAACAUCGCAUAUUCGUCUAAUAAUUAGUAAAAAAAAGGGGUGACAGACAAAGAACGAAAUUAAAUCGGUCAUUCUUAGAAAACAAGAACAAACACGAUUCGCGUAGCUCUUACAAUUCCAGAAAACUCUGGUGAAUAAUGAUCUUCAGGAACGAAACUGAUAAAGAAAAAUGGUUAAACGUUGUAAAACAAAAAUAAGUUUACAACACACGUUGUCAAAGAACCUAAUAGACUCUCGUCCAAUCAUGAAAAACGAGAUUAUAGGUUAAUCUGUUUGUCCUCACAUUCCCGUUUUUUAUCCAAAUGACGAUUAUUUUUUUAUUAUCUAUUGAAACAAGAAAAUUCCAAUGAAUUUUGUUAAUAUCAGUAUUAAAACUUGAGAUGCUUCAUCCUGUCCAGCAUUUUGACAAGUCUAUUUCUAUGAGAUAUGCAUCUACAGACUGAUGAAUAAGGGAAGAACCUUUUAUUGUGUAUUUGGUUUAAACCACAAGUUUCGUUCGGCAAAAUAUUUGCGCAAAACAACAUUUCAAGGUCAGUCUAAUAAUUGAUUUGGUCUAUUUUUAAAAACGUAAACUGCAAGUUUUUAUUUUUCACAACAGAGAGUGUUAUACAAUUUGUUAGUGAUUUAAAUGCAUUUUCAUUUCAAUAAAAAAGCAAUCAUUUUAUUAUUUUUUCAGGGAUGAAUUGCAUUUGUUAGGGUGGCGGGGAAUAAAAGCAUGAAAAGUCAAUUUUAUUUUUAUUCUGGAAAUCGGGCACAAUCAGGUCGGCGAUCCGUAAACAACAAAUUAAAAACUUGGCCUUAAAGAACAGGGAAAUAAAAAAACUAAUAAAAAUGUUACACAAGUGAAGAAAUAUAAAAGUAGUUUGUGGAUUUAUGUAUUAAUGUAUGCAUUGAGUUAUAAAUAAAAGAAUAAAAAAAUAUCAGAACACUUGAGUGGUUAAAAAUAAAAGACUUCUAUUAAUCUUUUUUCUUGUGUAUUUUCAGAGUUUAGUAAUGUCAUCCCAUUAUAACUGACUAGUAUAACAUUUUGUUUAGGGGCCAGCUGAGCACAUUCUGUCUCUCGCUGCAUUGAAGACCGCAUUGUUGCCUUCGCGUUGUCUGCGAUCUUAGAUCAGGUUCGCUGUCUCUGACACAUUACCCAUUUUGCCAUUCUCUCAAUUUUAAUUUGUUACAGAUAUAGAUUUACCGACGAGAAUUA